AAGCUCUGUUUCCACCCAUAGAGCUUGACACAAAUACACCGAUUGCCAGUCUAACCCACAGUGAGGCGGGGAAAACCACUUUGGACUCAAUGCCUUUAGUUCAGUGGUCACAGUCGAUUUUACUUGACCGCCCUAUGCUAACCUGUACUGUGUUGUAUCCCAAUUCUAACCAGUGUGUUCGAGUUAAGGGUCUUUUGGACACAGGCGCGGACGUCACAGUCUUUGCAGAGAGCGACUGGCCUAAGGAAUGGAACACGACACAGCCCUGCAUCAACAUCAAAGGGGUAGGAGGAGCGCAGUCACCGCUCCAAAGUGCCUGCACACUAUUGAUUGAAGGCCCUGAAGUACCCUCCAUCAGUGCAGCAGAACCAUCUUGACGCUAUCACUGGACCAUCCUGCCUCAAGGAGUGAGAAAUAGCCCCUCUGUGUGCCAGAGAGUCAUUGCAGAGGUCUUGUCUCCAAUUCGUCGGCAGUUUCCCCAGACCAUCCUGUACCACUACAUAGACGACAUCCUACUGGCUGCUGAAUCCAAGGAGCAACUCGCACAACUUCAUCGGACUGUGGAAGCUGCUCUGUCAAGACACGGCCUUGAGGUUGCACCAGAAAAAGAACAAAUGACAAUGCCAUGGAAGUACCUAGGAUAUCACAUCAAUAACACCACGAUUCAACCUCA